AUGGACUCCGGAAGCAAGUCGGUGAGAAUCUUCUGGGAUAAGUAGAAAUGUCGCCAGCUUUCUACCUCCCCAACAUACGUUACCAAGAAUGUCCUCAAACUUUUGGCUCUUUCAAAUGCCUCGAACUUCUUGUAAGUUACAUAUUCCUCACGAACAAAUGACAUGUGUCGGUACUUUUCCAACAUUUCCUUCCUAAUAUUCUUCUCGUUCUCAUUAUCUAACCUUAAAAAAAACUCAACAGAAACAGAUGUUGCCAAAUCAUUCAUGAGGUCAUGC
rnacentral:lncRNA from 1 species